rnacentral:snRNA from 1 species
GGAUGUGAGGGCAAUUGGGCUGUGAUAUCUGUCACCCCAUUGAUCGCCAGGGUUGAUUCAGCUGAUCUGGCUGUCUAGGUGGGUGUCCCAUUCCUCCCUCAAUGCUCCAUGUGUGUCCCUCCUGAAGCUGCACGCUUGGUCAAAGAGGACAACCACCUCUAUAGAGGAGGACUGUUCUUUGGUCAAGGGUACUGGAGUAGCUACACUCCCUUGCUAGAACCUCUAAACAAGCUCUCAAUAACUGAAAAAAAUCAGACCCCCCAAAUUUAAUGUCCCAAUCAAAAAAUGGGCAUCU